UACGUAGGGUGCGAGCGUUAAUCGGAAUUACUGGGCGUAAAGUGUGCGCAGGCGGCCGCGCAAGUCGAGUGUGAAAGCCCCGAGCUUAACUUGGGAAUUGCGCUCGAAACUACGUGGCUGGAGUGUGGCAGAGGAAGGUGGAAUUCCAGGUGUAGCGGUGAAAUGCGCAGAUAUCAGGAGGAACACCGAUGGCGAAGGCAGCUCGCUGGGACGGUACUGACGCUGAGACGCGAAAGCGUGGGGAGCAAACAGG
rnacentral:rRNA from 1 species